rnacentral:rRNA from 1 species
AACGACUCUCGACAACGGAUAUCUCGGCUCUCGCAUCGAUGAAGAACGUAGCGAAAUGCGAUACUUGGUGUGAAUUGCAGAAUCCCGUGAACCAUCGAGUCUUUGAACGCAAGUUGCGCCCGAAGCCACCAGGCUGAGGGCACGCCUGCCUGGGUGUCACGC